rnacentral:rRNA from 1 species
UACGGGGGGGGCAAGCGUUGUUCGGAAUUACUGGGCGUAAAGGGCUCGUAGGCGGCCAACUAAGUCGGAUGUGAAAUCCCCUGGCUCAACCUGGGAACUGCAUCCGAUACUGGAUGGCUUGAAUUCGGGAGAGGGAUGCAGAAUUCCAGGUGUAGCGGUGAAAUGCGUAGAUAUCUGGAGGAAUACCGGUGGCGAAGGCGGCAUCCUGGACCGACAUUGACGCUGAGGAGCGAAAGCUAGGGGAGCAAACGGG